AACGAACGCUGGCGGCAUGCCUAACACAUGCGAGUCGAACGAGACCUUCGGGUCUAGUGGCGCACGGGUGCGUAACGCGUGGGAACCUGCCCUUAGGUUCGGAAUAACUCCCCGAAAGGGGUGCUAAUACCGGUUAAUUUCUUGGGCCCAAAGUUUAAUCGCCUUUGGAUGGGCCCGCGUUGGAUUAGCUAGUUGGUAGGGUAAAAGCCUACCAAGGCGACGAUCCAUAGCUGGUCUGAGAGGAUGAUCAGCCACACUGGGACUGAGACACGGCCCAGACUCCUACGGGGGGCAGCAGUGGGGAAUAUUGGACAAUGGGCGAAAGCCUGAUCCAGCAAUGCCGCGUGAGUGAUGAAGGCCUUAGGGUUGUAAAGCUCUUUUACCCGGGAUGAUAAUGACAGUACCGGGAGAAUAAGCUCCGGCUAACUCCGUG
rnacentral:rRNA from 1 species